rnacentral:rRNA from 1 species
CAGGACGAACGCUGGCGGCACGCUUAACACAUGCAAGUCGAACGGAGUUAUCGAGAGCUUGCUUUGAUAACUAGUGGCGGACGGGUGAGUAACACGUGAGCAAUCUGCCCUUAAGAGGGGGAUAGCAGUUGGAAACGACUGAUAAUACCGCAUAAGAUAGUAGUACCGCAUGGUACAGCUAUAAAAGAUUUAUCGCUUAAGGAUGAGCUCGCGUCUGAUUAGCUAGUUGGUGAGGUAACGGCUCACCAAGGCAACGAUCAGUAGCCGGACUGAGAGGUUGGACGGCCACAUUGGGACUGAGACACGGCCCAGACUCCUACGGGAGGCAGCAGUGGGGAAUAUUGCACAAUGGAGGAAACUCUGAUGCAGCGAUGCCGCGUGAGGGAAGAAGGUUUUAGGAUUGUAAACCUCUGUUGACAGGGACGAUAAUGACGGUACCUGUUGAGGAAGCUCCGGCUAACUACGUGCCAGCAGCGGC